CCCACCCACCCCUUCCGUCCUCUCUUCCUCUCUCCAUCCAUCCUCCUCCCUUCUCUCCUCUUUAUUCGACAACAAAGCCCCCCUCCCCUCCUCCUUCUCUCUUCUUAUUUUUCUCUCUUUCCCCUCUCUUUCUUCAACCAAAUCCAUAUCAGGUUUUUUUUUUUUUUUUUUAAAUAAACCAAUAGAUGUUGCUGGGGUUGGGGGCAGAGAAAUGAGAGGGAGCCAUUGAUGUUGUUGGGGUUGGGGGCAAUGCAGUGGACGACGAUGGGUCGGAGGAGAUGGGUUUCCAGAGUUGGAUCGGAAGAAAUUCUAAAAAUACGUUUUUUUUCUUUUAUUGUUGGGUCCAAUCAGAUCUUGGAGUUUUAGUUUUUUCAAUCAAGAAAAUAUACUUCUUGGAGCUUCAAUUUUGUUGAGGUAGGGAAGUUGCGGAAGAGAAAGUGAUGAAUGGCGUCAGGGAAGAGAAGCCAGGCCAGUGUGUUGGACUCACCUGUUCAGUUUAGCGACAGUACUAUUUUGUGAACCACAUUUUAGGCUCAUUAUAUUAGAGGAGCUAGUGAGCCAUUUUUUUCACUGUUGGACUGCAUAGUCUCAUUUAAGUUAGUCCUCCCUCUUACCAAACAUGGGUUUUAAGUGCUAUUUUGUCCAGUCCAGGUUAGUGAGGCCUACCAAACAUGCCC
rnacentral:lncRNA from 1 species